GCAAGGGUAGUCUCUUGACCAGGGCACGGUCUUCUUAGACAUGCCCUUAUCUCUGGAGGAGACUGCAGUCAUCGGAAUGCCCAGGCUCCCAGGAAGCCCCCUUUCUACAGAGCCUCGAGGAAUUGGGCACCCCUCUGGGAGCUCAGCAGCAGGAGCAGCAGCAGGGGCAGGAGCAGCAGCGUGGCCAACCCUUUCACCGGGUAUGACAGAUAGACCCCAGCUCCCCCUCCUGAUCCUUCCCUGCCAGCAACCACUCUGUACUCUUCUGUUCCAUCAGCUCUCUGUGCCCGGACCUAGCUCGGGCUCCAUCUGCGCCCAUCUGAAUCUAUCUUCUGUGGCCCUCUGUCUGCUUCCCUGUCUAUAUGCGCUGUCCCGGUCGCUUGGAAGCCUGCCUCUGUCUCUUUCUGUAACACUGUUUCUUCAUUUCUAUGUCUGUCUCUCUGUAUUGAUGCGGGUAUCUCUGUCCCCUCCCUCUUUAAAGUCCUCUAUCUCUCUGGAGGCUAUGACCACUUCUUUCUGUGGGCCCUACAGUUCCCAGAGUUAGAACUGGACUUAUCUGUGGGAAUAAACUAGGCAUCUGGUACCCUGAAAGACUCAGUAACUCUCUAACCAGAGUUUAAUAGGAAUAGCAAUUGAGAAAGAAUACAGAGCCUAGAGUGUAGGUGAUUGCUGUGGUCACUGUAUAUCAAGGGUGAAG
rnacentral:lncRNA from 1 species